rnacentral:rRNA from 1 species
UACGUAGGCAGCAAGCGUUGUUCGGAGUUACUGGGCGUAAAGGGUGUGUAGGCGGUUGGAUAAGUGUGGUGUGAAAUCUCCCGGCUUAACUGGGGGGGUGCGCUACAAACUGUCUGACUAGAGUGUGGGAUGGGUAAGUGGAAUUCCCGGUGUAGCGGUGAAAUGCGUAGAUAUCGUCUGGAACGCCGAAGGUGAAAACAGCUCGCUGGGGCUGCGCUGACGCUGAGACACGAAAGCCAGGGGAGCGAACGGG